rnacentral:rRNA from 1 species
UACGGAGGAUGCAAGCGUUAUCCGGAUUCAUUGGGUUUAAAGGGAGCGUAGGUGGCCUUAUAAGUCAGUGGUGAAAUCUCGCAGCUUAACUGUGAAAUUGCCAUUGAUACUGUAGGGCUUGAGUACAGAUGCCGUUGGCGGAAUAUGACAUGUAGUGGUGAAAUACAUAGAGAUGUCAUAGAACACCGAUUGCGAAGGCAGCUGACGAAACUGUAACUGACACUGAGGCUCGAAAGUGCGGGGAUCAAACAGG